rnacentral:rRNA from 1 species
CCUACGGGAGGCUGCAGUAAGGAAUAUUGGUCAAUGGAGGAAACUCUGAACCAGCCAUCCCGCGUGAAGGAUGAAGGGGCUCUGCCUUGUAAACUUCUUUUGUCUGGGGCGAAAAAGCUCGAUUUAUCGAGAACUGACGGUACCAGAAGAAUAAGCACCGGCUAACUCCGUGCCAGCAGCCGCGGUCAUACGGAGGGUUCAGGAGUUAUCCGGGAUCACGGGGGUGAAGGGGUGCGAGUAAGUCAUAGGUGAAAGGCUGUGGCUUAACCAUGGAAUUGCCAUUGAUACUGCAGAGCUUGAAGGAGGUUGAGGUUGGCGGAAUGUGACAUGUAGCGGUGAAAUGCUUGGAUAUGUCAUGGAACACCGAUUGCGAAGGCAGCUGACUGGACCUAUAUUGACGCUGAGGCACGAAAGCGUGGGGAGCGAACAGGAUUAGAUACCCCAGUAGUC